GACGAACGCUGGCGGCGUGCCUAAUACAUGCAAGUCGAACGCUGAAGGAGGAGCUUGCUUCUCUGGAUGAGUUGCGAACGGGUGAGUAACGCGUAGGUAACCUGCCUGGUAGCGGGGGAUAACUAUUGGAAACGAUAGCUAAUACCGCAUAAGAGUAGAUGUUGCAUGACAUUUGCUUAAAAGGUGCAAUUGCAUCACUACCAGAUGGACCUGCGUUGUAUUAGCUAGUUGGUGGGGUAACGGCUUACCAAGGCGACGAUACAUAGCCGACCUGAGAGGGUGAUCGGCCACACUGGGACUGAGACACGGCCCAGACUCCUACGGGAGGCAGCAGUAGGGAAUCUUCGGCAAUGGACGGAGGUCUGACCGAGCAACGCCGCGUGAGUGAAGAAGGGUUUCGGAUCGUAAAGCUCUGUUGUAAGAGAAGAACGAGUGUGAGAGUGGAAAGUUCACACUGUGACGGUAUCUUACCAGAAAGGGACGGCUAACUACGUG
rnacentral:rRNA from 1 species